rnacentral:sRNA from 1 species
UUUAAAUACAGGUUGUAUAAAGACUAGAGGAUAUUGUUAUUUUAAUGCAAGUUGUGUACAGACUAGAAGACAUUGUUAAUUAAAUACAGGUUGUGUAAAGAAUAGAAGACAUUGUUAAUUAAAUACAGUUUGUGUAAAGACUAGAAGACAUUGUUAAUUAAAUACAGGUUGUGUACAGACUAGAAGACAUUGUUAAUUAAAUACAGGUUGUGUACAGACUAGAAGACAUUGUUAUUAAAUACAGGUUGUGUACAGACUAGAAGACAUUGUUAUUAAAUACAGGUUGUGUAAAGACUAGAAGACAUUGUUAUUAAAUACAGGUUGUGUAAAGACUAGAAGACAUUGUUAAUUAAAUACAGGUUGUGUACAGACUAGAAGACAUUGCUAAUUAAAUACAGGUUGUGUAA